rnacentral:ncRNA from 2 species
GCGUAUCUUCAGGGCAGGGUGAAAUUCCCUACCGGCGGUAAUAUGCAGUUGAAUGCAUUAGCCCGCGAGCGAAAGCAGACAUGGUGAGAUCCCGUGGCCGACAGUACAGUCUGGAUGGAAGAAGAAUUGG